rnacentral:rRNA from 1 species
GCUUGUCUCAAAGAUUAAGCCAUGCAUGUCUAAGUUUAAAUGUCUUGAACAGUGAAACUGCGAAUGGCUCAUUAAAUCAGUUAUAGUCUAUUCGAUGAUGCUUACUACAUGGAUAACUGUGGUAAUUCUAGAGCUAAUACAUGCCUUGAAAGCCUGGUUCGCCGGGUGCACUUAUUAGAUAAAAACCAAUGCCUUCGGGCUUCUUGGUGAUUCAGAAUAAUUUUUCGAAUCGUAUGGCCUUGUGCCGACGAUGCAUCGUUCGAAUAUCUGCCUUAUCAAAUUGUCGGUAGGAUAGAGGCCUACCGAGUUGACAACGGGUAACGGGGAAUAAGGGUUCGAUUCCGGAGAGGGAGCCUGAGAUACGGCUACCACAUCCAAGGAAGGCAGCAGG